CUUGGGAUCUUCAGCUCGUGUGCAGCAUAGAGGCAUCCAAUUGCAGUGAAACUUGAUUUCGUGGGUUGUGGACUUAAGGGGGAGUGUGUUGAACCAUUCCAACAGCAAUUUAAUUAGAUCCGAAUGUCUUGGAAGCUAUAUUUUUGAAGUUGGAUUUGGUUUUCCAUCAUCCCCCACUAGUUUAGAAGGGAUUCCCCACCUGAAUACAGACCUCAAGAUCUUUGUAAAGAGCUAAUUCUUGGAGGUGUUUUUCCCUCACUUGUAAAAGAUGCAGGUUCUCGGCAUCCAAAAGUUGGGUCCGAAUCCUUGUGACGGCUUUUUGGUGAUUGAUUUGAGCUCAAUUUUGGUAAGGAAGCUGGGGAAUUAUUCUCUAACCUUUUGAGGUUGAAGUUGCCAGGCUACUGUUCUGGGCUCUGCAUCUGGGCACCCAUAACUCUCGACUAGAGGGCCCGAAUCCUGUGGUCUUGGGUAUUGACUGCGAUUUUGAGUUGGGAGUGAUCCUUAAGCUCUCCUAUCGACUUCUUGCCAUCGUUGGACUCAUGUUUAAGGUGGGUUAAUGUCGACUGAAUACUUCGGAA